rnacentral:rRNA from 1 species
UACGAAGGGGGCUAGCGUUGUUCGAAAUUACUGGGCGUAAAGCGCACGUAGGCGGAUCCUUAAGUCAGGGGUGAAAUCCUGGAGCUCAACUCCAGAACUGCCUUUGAUACUGAAGAUCUUGAGUUCGGGAGAGGUGAGUGGAACUGCGAGUGUAGAGGUGAAAUUCGUAGAUAUUCGCAAGAACACCAGUGGCGAAGGCGGCUCACUGGCCCGAUACUGACGCUGAUGCACGAAAGCGUGGGGAGCAAACAGG